GCUGCAAAGCUGCUCGCCUUAAAUGGAUUAGCUGGACCUGCUUUGAGACUAGGUUUGACUCGGCGUAAUAAGUUAUUUCGCUGAGGACAUCUUUGGAUGGCCUAGUCGCUUUGCGAACGUCUGCUCUCUAACCCGUUCCCACUUGGGACAUGACUUUUUAUUUUGGCCUCAAAUCAGGUAGGACUACCCGCUGAACUUAA
rnacentral:misc_RNA from 1 species